AACGAACGCUGGCGGCAUGCCUAACACAUGCAAGCCGAACGAACCCUUCGGGGUGAGUGGCGCACGGGUGCGUAACACGUGGGAACCUGCCCUUAGGUUCGGAAUAACAGUUAGAAAUGACUGCUAAUACCGGAUAAUGUCUUCGGACCAAAGAUUUAUCGCCUUUGGAUGGGCCCGCGUAGGAUUAGCUAGUUGGUGAGGUAAAGGCUCACCAAGGCGACGAUCCUUAGCUGGUCUUAGAGGAUGAUCAGCCACACUGGGACUGAGACACGGCCCAGACUCCUACGGGAGGCAGCAGUGGGGAAUAUUGGACAAUGGGCGAAAGCCUGAUCCAGCAAUGCCGCGUGAGUGAUGAAGGCCUUAGGGUUGUAAAGCUCUUUUACCUGGGAUGAUAAUGACAGUACCAGGAGAAUAAGCCCCGGCUAACUCCGUGCCAGCCGCCGCCGUAACAC
rnacentral:rRNA from 1 species